AGCCCCUUUCUUUCUCAUUUGGCAAACCCUAAAUCCCUUACUUCAACCACCGAUUUACCUCCACAAACAACAACCUGUGCAUUCAAGUUUGAAAGGAUAGUUUUUCAGCCUUGAGAUCCCCUUUCGGUUUCGAUUUCAACAAAGCAAAAGGAAUCUAUUGGCAUAUUCGCAAGGGGGUGCUGUACGGAGGAAGAGGCCCUGGUGACGUGGAGGUCGUGCGUGGGAAACCACUCGUGGGAGCCUGAUCCCCUGGCUGGCUGCGACGCUAGCAUGUUCCAAAAACCUUUGGGGUUUCUGGUACUUUCAAACUGUUGGGCCCCUUUUGGCCAUUUGGGAUUGUUUUAGCAGUGGGCUGUUGUAAACUGGGUUAAGGAUUAAGUUGGAGGGCUUUGGGUGUAAUGGGAUUUUGGGUUAGGGUCUAGGCCAAUAAUUUUAGGCUUUAUUUUGGGGUUUCAAUUGGGUCUCGAUUAAUGUUUUGUAUUUUCGGACUGUGAACAUUUUAUUGUUUUUGGUUUUUUUUUGUUUUAUUUUAACUUUGGUUCUGGUAUAA